AACCACUAGCAUCGCUAUUCCAUGGCGGUCGGAGGUCCCCGCUUAUCUCCGAGAGGAGUGGACCCUUCAUUGCGCUCAUCUUCCAUUAGGAUCACAUCAUCAGCACAGCGAGCAGAGACGUCCGCAGUGCAAAGCCCAUGCAGCGCUCGAUGUCAGAGAGGAAUGUGGCUGAUUUAGAUUUUGGACUGACACAGAUCAUCUAUGGGGCUGAAUGUGAUCGGCAGAGUCAGAAUGGACACAAUCAACUGUUAUAUUUUAUCCUUGCUUGCAUAUUUUUAUGUUGAUUUUUUUAAUACAAAGCUAAUAUAUAAUCUGUUAUUUAAGAACGUAAUUAGUUUUGGAAAAUCUGCAAUACUCGACAUAUUUAUACUAUUCAAAAUAAAAUAUUGAAAAUAA